AAUCACAUGCAUAUUCACUUAAUGCUCUAACAAUUCAUAAAAUAUCCACAAAUAUCUCAAGAUAUGUAUAAACACAAACACAUAAAUAAAGGAACAUUGCCUACAUUGUUUGGCCAACAAAAAGCACAUUAAUGAAUUAUAUGCAAGUAGAACAAUCACCAAGACAAACUCAGCUGAUUCUUGACACUGGACGUCUAAAGAUAACUCAUUUGUCAUGAGUUCAGUUUCUUCAUGGACAACUCCUAUUGGCAUAGACAUGAACAAUGGCCCUCAACUGCUGCCCCAUUUCAAGUUCCAGCAUUUCGAAAUCCAAAUGCUGCUCAAAU
rnacentral:misc_RNA from 1 species